rnacentral:rRNA from 1 species
UACGGAGGGUGCAAGCGUUGUUCGGAAUUAUUGGGCGUAAAGGGCGUGUAGGCGGUUAGAUAAGUCAGAUGUGAAAGCCCUUGGCUCAACCAAGGAAGUGCAUCUGAAACUAUUUAACUUGAGUACGGUAAAGGGAAGUGGAAUUCCCAGUGUAGAGGUGAAAUUCGUAGAUAUUGGGAGGAACAUCUGUGGCGAAGGCGACUUCCUGGAUCGAUACUGACGCUGAGACGCGAAAGCGUGGGGAGCAAACAGGAUUAGAAACCCCAGUAGU